rnacentral:lncRNA from 1 species
UAACAGGAGUUCUAUACAAAAUAAUUAAGUAAUUACAUUAUAAGGAGACAACGGUCCAGCAACCCAAAGUUGACUGGGAGACGACGACCUAGACCUCUCACGAACUCGCACAGCAUCCUUCAAGCGCCUCGUCCUGUGGUACCUGUUCUUGACCUGUGGGGGGGUGUGAGACAGCAAGAGUGAGCUCACAUACGUUCAUCGCUCAACAAGUUGUGGGGAAUAAUGUGCAUGAACUCGCCAAAGGUGGGAGCUCACGUGAAGUGUAAGGCUUACCAACGGAGAUGGUUGAAGCUGAGCAUUGCUUUUAAAGUUGGUCAAAAUUUUAUUAGCAAUUACUAAGUAUAAGUAAAUACCAACCCAAUUAAGUAGUAGAACAGAAGUAACAUCAUCACCUGCGAUGCAAUGCAUAUGACAAAAUUGAAUUUAAGUUCCAUAAAUUAAUCAUCAGAGAGUCCUGAGCUGCUCAUGACCGUGAACUCGGCUAGUAUACCAGUUUUACACUCUGCAGAGGUGGUACCCUUUACCCACAAGUCAUGUUACCCAUCUGCCAAGGGAUCGCGACUUCCCAUACACCUCUACCGAGGAGGCGAGGCAGGGUAACAUUACGAGGCCUUUACAAAGUUCCACUAGCUUCAGAAAACCCGCUACAGUUUAUAGGAAGCUCCAAUGCAGGAAUCCCUUGCAGGACCGCCAUCGCAGCAAAAUCCUCCCGAGGGCCUCCCUACACUGACCACUCCCCUACUGCCCUUGCCCCUUUCGGGUAAGGUAGUCCUCCGCUAGCUUUCCUAAUUAAUCAGCCAAGGGCGUCCAUAAACCCUUGUGGUGGCACGUGUUUCUCAAGUUAAGCUCUAUGUUCCAAUUAACAUUUAAUGAUCUUGUCAUGAACAUAAAUAGAAUAACAACAUAAUUGGAACAUAGAUGUAAUGAAAUAUUAACCCAAAACCAUAUAAAGCAGUAGCAGAACUACCCAAGUGAUUCAGGGGUAAACAAGGUAUUCAGGAUGAACAAACUAGGGUGACCUAUUGGGUCCCAUCAAAAUUAACCUAUGCAGAUCAUUAUGAUUAAUCAGAACAUGAGUAGGUAAAAAGAAGUGAUCAAGGGCACAACUUGCCUGGGACUUGAGAUUCCAGGUACCAACUUGCUUUUCAGAUGACUCGUGUCCUCACUGCUAAACGUAGCAAUACAAACAAAUAGUGUACAGGCAAAAUUAACAUCACACCAAACAUAAGAACAAAAUACAUGUUAAUAAUCUACAUAUUAAAAUAAGAUUCUAGGAAGAGGAAUCAUUAAUUUUGGAGUUAUAGAUUUUAAGAUAUGAAUUUCUAAAGGUUUUAUGUGGUUGAAAUAUGAUUAAGUGGGAAAUUAAAUUUCUUAGUGUUGUCAUGAUAAAACAGAGACUCUAAGUGAUAUAUAAUAAAAUUAUAAAAUUUUAGAAAGUAGAAUGGAUUAAUUUGGAGCAAGUAUGAAUUUUCUAUGAAUUUUAUAAGUUCUAGUACUUAUUUUCAUAUUAAAAAUCCAUUUUCUAUUUCUUUUAUUCAAAUUAAAUGGGUUCUGGACUGGGCCUCAUUUACAAGAAAGGUCAGGGGUCUCUAAGUGAAAGUUCUUAAGACACAGGGCGCCCCACAUGUGGACGGCGGGUUGGUUUCUUAGUUUCCCGAGGACUCUUUAGCAAAAUACGCAAGCCGAAGGGGUAUCUGCUGACUUCAGACGCACGAUCUCACACCUACGGCCUAGAUUAGAUCUACAUUUAUUAAACCGGUACGCUACGAGGACCACCAGAUGUUGAUCCAACAGUGGAGAUCACAUCCAUACCCGGAGUCAUCCGAUCGCUGAUCAACGCUCUAGAUCGACCCAACACGAAACAUUACGCAGGUUUUAAUCUCAGCCGUAGAUCGCCGGAUGGACGCUCCACGGCCGUCUUCCACCUCCCUGCCCCGCCAGAGCACGGCGGCGCGAAUACUGGGAGUUGCGUGCCUGGUUUAGCCGACCGCCCAGCGCUCCCACGGCGGACGCAACCAGGUGCCGCGCGUGAGGAAGAGCCGCACAGGCGCUCAUAUUCUCUCACCUCGCAAGCCAGGAAGGGUGCUCACCAGCUGCUGUGACGGAGCGCGCUCCACGGUGAUGCUGAUCCGCGACGGGGCCGACUGGUGAUCCAGGUGUAAACGACGCCGGCCGCAGGGAACAGGAACGCACGGCCCGAGGGUCCGCCACGUGAUGGGGGCACCGAGGAUCCUUGAUGCCAAGGCACCCAGGUGUUCCCGCCGCCGCACCCGUAGCUCUCUAACCGAGUGCGUUUAUGGUGGAUAUGGCGAUUGUAGCGCAGGUUCUCUCUCCCUAAGACGCUCGGGUUCCAUGUUCGUCAUUGGCACAGGCAAGGGGAGAGACGAUAGCACUGGUUUAUAUACACGCGACAAGGGAAUCCCAGGGCCAACUACUGCGCGCGGAUUCCGCGGAUCUUGUUGCCAGCAGUGAGUCCGAUUUGAGGAAGAAGACGACUGACGAGGUGGACCCACCGGUCAGUGGCGCAGUGUCAUGGCGUGGGCUGAGUGGGGGGGAGUGAGGAUGGGCCACGAAGUGAAAUAAGGGAAAUGGGCUGCCCAGGCGGGGGAGUAGAAGGGAAGGAGGGGGUUGGCAGGAUGGGCCGGUGCGCGGAUUUGGCCCAAACCGCAGACAGGUAAGUCUUUUAUCCUUUUCUAAUUUCUGAUUCAAAUUAAGAUUAAAUUCCAAAUUCAAAACAAAGUGCUCACUUCAAAAUUCCAGCAUGAAGUGCAAGUAUAUUUUUUUUGAAUGUGUAGUAAAAAAACUAUCUAUAAUUUCAAUACUUUUAGUUUAGGAGAAAACAUAAAAUCUCCACCAUAACUUAUCUCUUGAUUCAAAUAUUUUCUUCAAGGAGUGUGUUAAUUUUAAAGUUAUAAUAAAUAUGUUGAAGGUGUUUCUUUUACUUAUUGUUCCAUAGUUUCAACUUGAACUUUAGUUUCAAGAUUUGGAUCUAAGUGUUAAACUACCAAGCUUUUGACAUUACUAUUUAUUUACUUUAGGGGGAUAUACUUAGUAAAGGGUUCUAUGACUUUCUCCAUCUUUUUGGAGAAACACAUAUGAAUCUUAAACUAGAAUUUUGGGUGUUACAAAUCCUACCCCCCUUAAAAAUAAUCUCGUCCUCGAGAUUUGCAAGAAAGGGGAUACAAGUCUAUCUUGUAGUCUAGAUUUCAUUUUCUAAUUAGUUCUAGUACGAAAAGUUUUUUUUUAUAGUCUAUAUCAAAUUAUCAGGUGAUUAGGAAGGCAUAUGUAUGGCCACCUUAUUAUGUAGGAUAAAAGAUGUCCUAGAAAUAUGAGUAGGUGUUGGUAAGAAAGAGUAGGGUAAGGGAAAGACUCCGUCAUGCAUAGCGAAUCUUGAGUCCUUUGGCGCUCCAACUUGAUCUUUGAAGACUUGAGUUGAUGCUUAUCCUCCUUUGACAUGGUUGGUCUUCUUUGGCCUUCAUCCUUAGAGUUUCCAUCCGUGUUAUGGACGUAUGGUUAAGAUAGUUGUCGGGUGCUUGGGCUGGGUAGGCCCAACAAGGUUUACUUUGCUUUUGGGAUAAAUGGGUUGGGCAACCUAUAACAUAGGCUAGGUUGUGGUGGUUCCACAGACGAGUUGGUCUAAGACACCAAUUUAGGUUUAGGUGAAUUAGGAGUAUGGCCCUAUUCCUUGUACCAGCAUUAAGUAACUCACUCUAGAUUAGAUCAUACUAGAUUAGAUAAAGUCUAGAUUAGGUUGGUAUGACUAGAUCAAACUAGUUUAAGUUAUAAAGAUUUACUAGGGUAGGAUAAAUAUCAUUAGGAUAUGUUAGAAUCUUUUGAGAUAAGAUGGAUCUAUUAAGAUAAGAGAGAAUCUUGUAGAUAAGAUGGAUAUAUUAAACUAAAUAUAUUUUAAUGGGGGUAUUCUUAGUUUGUAUAGUCAUCUUAUGUUUUUUUAUAUAUAUAUUUAUGCCUAUACGUAUAUGUAGAUGUAAUUGUGGACAUUACUCCACAACCAUCACACUCAAUCAAAGAUCCAAAUCAGGCAAGUAUCAUAAGAACAAACAUUCAAGUUCAUAUACAUCUAUAUAAUAAAAUAGUUUUGUUUUUGUUCCUAAGAUUAGGUGUCCUAUUCCUAAAAGUCACUUUAGGCACAGGAUUUCAAAGUGUGAAAUCCACAUUUGUCUUUAGAAGAAAAAAGGUAAGAAUAAUCAGAGUAAGCGGAAAUAGAUGAGAAAAGAUUAAGAAAAGUUUAGAAAUAAUCAGAGUAGCAAGGUUAAGUAGAUAACGGUUGUCCAGUUCUUGUCUAGGUUUCGUCCUACAGUCAACAUUCCUCUGAUACCACUUCUGUCACACCCGGAUUUUAGGGGUCCAGAACCCGGGCGCGAACAUAAUCACCAGGUGUGCUGGGACCAAGUCUCACACAUAUGAUGAAUCAUGGCACAGGAUCGAAUGUCACAUCUUUACUACAUAACAGGAGUUCUAUACAAAAUAAUUAAGUAAUUACAUUAUAAGGAGACAACGGUCCAGCAACACAAAGUUGACUGGGAGAUGACGACCUAGACCUCUCACGAACUCGCACAGCAUCCUUCAAGCGCCUCGUCCUGUGGUACAUGUUCUUGACCUGUGGGGGGGGUGUGAGACAGCAAGAGUGAGCUCACAUACGUUCAUCGCUCAACAAGUUGUGGGGAAUAAUGUGCAUGAACUCGCCAAAGGUGGGAGCUCACGUGAAGUGUAAGGCUUACCAACGGAGAUGGUUGAAGCUGAGCAUUGCUUUUAAAGUUGGUCAAAAUUUUAUUAGCAAUUACUAAGUAUAAGUAAAUACCAACCCAAUUAAGUAGUAGAACAGAAGUAACAUCAUCACCUGCGAUGCAAUGCAUAUGACAAAAUUGAAUUUAAGUUCCAUAAAUUAAUCAUC